CAACCAGAAGAGUCUCUGAGGUGUACUUGCCUGGAAGGAGAGUCAGCAUCCAAAGUCAGGUCCAGUCCUAAGGUUGGGAAAACAGCAACUCGUGUGGUCAGACAGCCCAGGGGUCAGGGAAUCUGAUGAUCAGAGGCUGAAGAUUCAAAAUGAGCAGGAAGCAGCAAGAUAGAGCCAGCAGGUCCAAGAGGAAAAGACCAAAGAAAGAGGUACCAAAAAAAAGAAAAAAAGGAAAGAAGAAAACAAAACAAAAUAAACACAUUUGACUUCC